rnacentral:tRNA from 1 species
CCGACCUUAGCUCAGUUGGUAGAGCGGAGGACGGUAGUUUGAUUAAUCUAAAUUGGAAAUCCUUAGGUCGCUGGUUCGAAUCCGGCAGGUCGGA